rnacentral:rRNA from 1 species
GUUUGAUCCUGGCUCAGGACGAACGCUGGCGGCGUGCCUAAGACAUGCAAGUCGAACGGAGGCUUCGGCCUCAGUGGCGAACGGCGGAGUAAGACAUAAGCAACGUGCCCUGAAGUCUGGGAUAUACGGUCGAAAGACCGGGCAAUACCGGAUGUGGCCCUUGCCAGGCAUCUGGCGAGGAUUAAACGGUUUUUCGCUUCAGGAGCGGCUUAUGGCCUAUCAGCUUGUUGGUGAGGUAACGGCUCACCAAGGCGACGACGGGUAGGGGGUCUGAGAGGAUGAUCCCCCCGAGUGGGACUGAGACACGGCCCACACACCUACGGGUGGCAGCAGUUAGGAAUCUUGCACAAUGGGGGAAACCCUGAUGCAGCGACGCCGCGUGGAGGAUGAAGGAUCUAGGUCUGUAAACUCCUUUUGCCGGGAAAGACUUAGGACGGUACCCGGCGAAUAAGCUCCGGCUAACUACGUGCCAGCAGCCGCGGUAAGACGUAGGGAGCAAGCGUUGUCCGGAUUUACUGGGCGUAAAGGGCGCGUAGGCGGUCUGUUAAGUGUGAAGUGAAAUCUCCAGGGCUCAACCCGGAAACUGCUUCGCAUACUGGCAGACUAGAGGAAGGAAGAGGUGAAUAGAAUUCCCGGUGUAACGGUGACAUGUAUUGAUAUCGGGAGGAAUACCAAUGGCGAAAGCAGUUCACUGGUCCUUUCCUGACGCUGAGGCGCGAAAGCGUGGGUAGCAAACAGGAUUAGAUACCCUGGUAGUCCACGCCCU